AAGAUCCUAAAUGUUAGAUGAAAGAGAGCUAGCAAACAUCCCAUAUAUCCUCUAAAAAGCAAUGAAAGUUUUGAAAGUCUGAGUAUCCAGUUUAUUACAUAAUUUUAAUAUGUCAUAAAGUUCUAAGCCCCAUAAUAUCCUACCAAAACAAUACAACCUCAUUACUCUCUAUAAGCUUAGACUGUACAAACUGGACGACUCUUUCGCGACCAGCACAUAUAUUUAUCUGGAUACUGAGCAUUUAAAAUCCGCAACUUGUUUUGGACAAGUAAUUUAGAGAACCACAAAGGAGGCCUCAUUCAGUGAACAUGCAAAUAGUUAGAUCAAACCAACCUGAGUGUACAAUCUCUAUUCUUCCAAAGUACCUAAGUUGAGACUAAUACAAGUAUCAGUUCAGGAAGAAACUCUUACUGUCAUAAUUGUCUUCAAUUCACAACCUAUCCAUACAUUUUACACAAACAAAGAUACAUAGCCGGAUUCCCUUAUAUCAUACUUGACAUUUAUAUUGUUCUAGACUAAUUGAAAUUGUGAUCCUUUCCUUCAGUGACUAACCUGAUCAUUCAUCACACAGAGAGUUUAUGAGCUCACGAGGUGACGAAUCCCAAACUGGAAGAUUCAAUAGAAACUGCUUUGCCAGCUCUUCCAGAAAAUUGCACAAUGCUUCAGCAGCCUCACAUAAAUUGGCAACAUUGUUAAUCACAGCUUCUUGAGUUUCUACCUGCAACACAAAUACAUAUAAAUAUACAUACAAGUAUACAACCCCAAAUAUAGCAUUUCUCAGUUGACAAUUACAAAUGCACUAUUUGAAUUACCUAGCAAACCAUGUGAACCAAGUAAUAAAACCCAAGUGUAAAAUUCCGAAAGUUAAAAAUUCCCAAGUGAAUUAAGGAACAAACCCAAGAUAUUCUAUAAACUACACAGUAAAUUCCAACAAAUUUAAAUCUCACCAAAAAGUCAAAACUCGAAUCGAUCCAUUCUGACAAAGUGAACCUAGAAUCAAAACGCAGUAUACAUACAUAUAUACACUACAAAACCACUUAAAUUCCGACAGAGAGAGACUCCGACAGAGCAAACUAUACUGGGAUUUUAAUCCAGAGCAUCAUCAGCAUCAUCAGCAUCAUGAUAACCACAUAACAAAUCUUUGAUUAAAGUCCUUGACUUCCACUCUAAUCAAAAUCUAUAAAAUUUCAAAUCCAUUUGGAAUUUGGAUUUCAUGUUCCCAUUCACAAAUUGAGAUGGAAUUAAAAAGAACACAGAGAGGGAGAGGGAGAGAGAGAGAUUGUACAUAGAAUUGCAGAGAGAGAGUGAAAAGCCUCAAGAAAAGUCUGUCGAGACAUGAAACUAUGGUCCGUACAGAUACCUAACUGAAGUAGUACCGUUGAGAAAUCCAAAAUCUUAUAUUUAUAUAAAGAGAAUUACUUGCCAAUAAAAAAUAGUGAUACAAAACCUAUUUUUAUUUGGUUUUUGCAUACAAAAAUAAUCAAAAUCAUAUUCGAAAUUACAAAAUCAUGGAGAAUCUACUACAUCUGUCAACUGGUUGUUUC
rnacentral:lncRNA from 1 species